rnacentral:rRNA from 1 species
UCGGGAAUUUUGGGCAAUGGGCGAAAGCCUGACCCAGCAACGCCGCGUGAGGGAUGAAGUAUUUCGGUAUGUAAACCUCGAAAGAAUGGGAAGAAUAAAUGACGGUACCAUUUAUAAGCUCCGGCUAACUACGUGCCAGCAGCCGCGGUAAUACGUAGGGAGCGAGCGUUGUUCGGAUUUACUGGGCGUAAAGGGCGCGUAGGCGGCGCGGUAAGUCACUUGUGGAAUCUCUGAGCUUAACUCAGAACGGCCAAGUGAUACUGCUGUGCUAGAGUGCGGAAGAGGCAACCGGAAUUCUUGGUGUAGCGGUGAAAUGCGUAGAUAUCAAGAGGAACACCUGAGGCGAAGGCGGGUUGCUGGGCCGACACUGACGCUGAUGCGCGAAAGCCAGGGGAGCAAAC